rnacentral:lncRNA from 12 species
AUGGCCCAGAUCGUCCUAGGCAGCCCCUCCUGUGCUGCCGGCACACGGCGACCCGACAUGUCUUGGGCUCCCGGGUCGUCGGGGUGGGGGCGGGGUGGGGUGGGGGGGCCCCGGGGUGACCUUGGAGAAGAGCCCCUCUUGCUCCUGGAAGCAAGCAGCCUAAUGGGAGCCGGGCCACUUAGGGGAGAUUCUUUCCCUGUCCUUGCAAUGGAGACCCGCUCCCCGUCCCGUCUCCCGCGGAGGAUAAAUGGACUUAGCAAAGUGAGGUCCCUGUACCUUGGACGGAGGGGGAUGGAGGGGGAUGGAGAGGGAUGGAGGGGGAUGGAGGGGGAUGGAGAGGGAUGGAGGGGGAUGGAGAGGCAGAGGAGGAGAAGGGGGAAGAGAGGAGGGGGAGGGAGAGGAAGGAGGGAGGGGGAGGGAGGGAGGGAAGGAGAGGAGGGGUCAGAAGGGGAGAGGAGGCAGGGAGAGGGGGGAGGAGGGGGGAGGAGGGGGGGCACCUUCACGGGCUCAGAAUGUCAUGCAGCCCCCUUGGCGGUGGGAUCCCACGUGGCUCCCUCCCUCCGUGGGACUCCGCCAGAGUCUCGAAGACGUGGUUAUUUCGGGUGGCAGCGUGAUUGGGAGCUCAGAAAGCAGGAAAUUGAGUGGUGAUUAAGGUUGUAAUAAGUUGACAACAUCAAAUAUCAUUACCCUUAGAACAUGCAAAUGAUCCCGUCUUUACCCGAGAUUUGCCAUGCAAAUACCAAUUAGCAGAAAAAGGAUUUGCCUUGAUAGGGGGUGACUGGUUCUCCUUCCAGGCGCCCCCCCAUGGCCCCUGAAAGUGGGUGAACAAGCAGGAGGGGCUGUGCUUGAAUGUCACCUGCCGAGGAGCUGAGGACCCACAGCAGCGACGCCUGGUCUCGUGAAGCGGCGUCAGAGACUGGCCUGGACCUCCUCUGCCACGGGCUUCGCCUUUCACGCUGGCCAGAGGCUGCUAGAAGCUUCUCGGACCAGCUCCUGGGGCAGCGGGUCCCCGGGCCGAUCCGUGCAGCCUCUGAGGCCUGGGCAAGCCGCACCGUCAGGACCCGCAGGACCCGGUGCCACGGGCUGCCCAGGGGACAGUGCCCAGCAGAGCAGGGAGCGCCCGGGGCUACACCGGGCAGGCAGCUUGCGGCCGUGACCCCACGUGACCCCACGUGACCCCAGAGCACCAGCACCGCCACGCCCAGGGCUUGGCUUCGGAGGCUCCGGGGCAGACGCUGCCAGGCCCUGGGCAGGAGCCCCUGCGUGUCCUUCCCUCCAGGUGCUUACCCGCAGCCGGGUGUCCUGGGCUCUGUGGGGGCACCGUCGCUCAUGCCGAGAUGAACGCGGCGCCUGCCCCGGACCAGCUUCUGGGCUCAUCCUCCGGUGGAAGGAACCGGGACACAGACAGCAGAGGAGCCGCAAGGUGAAGCUUCGUAGUCUGUUUGCAGAGACAAACUUGCUUUCUGCUGUGAGAACUUGCCCAGAAUCCGGGCGGAGCCUGGAAAGAGGAGUGGGGGAGGGGGGGGAAGAAGAGGAGGGGAGGGGUCCCUGGGGGAGGACCCGCAAAGCUGAGAUUCCGAGGUUGGAAAGCGCACGAUGUGUUUUAGGGUCAGUGAAUCCACCGUCCAUCUUGUCCAGCCCUAAUCCA